GACAACUAAAAUGCUGUCAAAAGAAAUGUCAAAUUUAUAAAAUGUCAGAAAUCACCAAAUUUACUAAAAAUCGCGAUUGAAUUGGUUUUGCUGUUUAAUAUUAUUAAUAAAUUAACUUUUCCACUUUUCAAAUUUGGUUAAAAAUCGGUCAUUUUUAGAUUUAGCAUUGGAUUAGUGUGUUUGUAAAAAAUGAUUUCUUUUUUAUCAACAUUUCAUGUCAUCAUGACAAUUCGAAUUUAAAUUAAAUCCUCUUCUUCGCUUUCAUCUCGCUUCUUUCUUUUCGCCCACCGGAAAAAUGUUUAGUGCUACAACACAUUUGAAUCGAGGUGGUUAUGGUAGCAUAAGGAAAACAUUUCGAUUUUAUAGUAAAGAUAACAAAAGGAAACGAAGUAAAGCAUAUCCACCUCCUUUACCACAAUAUGAACCACCAAAACGAUUAAGAAGAAUGUCUCGAAUUUGCCCCCCUUUACCACAAGCACAUCCGCCACCUAAAGCACCCAGCACGGGGCUUGGAGCAACAUUAGUGGGGUUGGCGUUAAUAAGUUGGGGUGUAAUAGCUUUUGCAAAAUACAAUUCUAAUUUCCGCGAGACACUCAACGAAAAGAUUCCGUUCACCGAUGACCUCGUAAAGUUACUUUAUGAGGAAGAAAAAUCUUUCGUCGAUAAUAUUCGUGAUUUUUUUGAUAAGUUUUGGUGAAAUAUAAUUGAUUUAUGUCAUUUUAAUCGUUAUGUCAUCGUGAAUUCGGGUUCGGUUCGUGUUUUAUGUUAACAUUGUGUUGUUUUAGCUCGCGGAAUCAUGUUUAGGAUUGUUAGUUCAUCCGCAACGCAUUUUAACCAAGGAUAGCGGAAAUGGAAUGAUCUAUAAAAAUGUGCAAUGUUAUAGUAAAGAAUGUCAAAGAAGGAGGGGUAAACCAACGAUUUGUCAAUCUUUUUCGCGGUCUGAAUCACCAAAUCAAGUUAAAAAGAUAACAUGUCGAGGUAGAGGUUCGUCCCGGCUUUGUCCACCUUUACCAGAAGCUUCUCCACCUCCGAAAGCACCAAGUACAGGGCUUGGAAUGACGAUUAUA
rnacentral:misc_RNA from 1 species